rnacentral:lncRNA from 1 species
GGGGCGGGGGUGGUGGUGGUGAGGCUUCAAGGUGCGGCUAUGGGGGGCUGCUUGUCCUCUCCUUUCCUGCUGAUUCUCCCGCAAUGGUAGCCCAAGCAUCCAUGCAAUUUGUGAGUCAGAAUGCUCAGAUGCUGUUCCAGGGAACAGACGGGCCGAGCUUAUAUCACAGAUCUAUCGUCGUCAUCAUCAUCACCGUCAUUAAAAAAAAAAAUCAGGCUAGGCUCUGUGGCUCAUGCCUGUAAUCCCAGCAUUUUGGGAGGCCAAGGCAGGUGGAUCCCCUGAGGUCAAGAAUUCCAGACCAACCUGGCCAACGUGGCAAAACCCCCUCUCUACUAAAAAUACAAAA